rnacentral:misc_RNA from 1 species
ACAAGUGAGUCAUCGAAUCUUUGAACGCACAUUGCGCCCACUAGUAUUCUGGUGGGCAUGCCUGUUCGAGCGUCAUUUCAACCCUUAAGCCCCUGUUGCUUAGCGUUAGGAGCCUACCGGAACUCUCUGGUAGCUCCCCAAAGUCAGUGGCGGAGCCGGUUCGCACUCCAGACGUAGUAGCUUUUACACGUCGCCUGUAGCGCGGGCCGGUCCCCUGCCGUAAAACACCCCAAUUUUUAUAGGUUGACCUCGGAUCAGGUAGGAAUACCCGCUGAACUUAAGCAUAUCAAUAAGCGGAGG